rnacentral:misc_RNA from 1 species
UUAAUGUCAAAGGUUACUUUGCUUUGUCAUUUUUGGACAAAUUCGAAUGGAAUAUGGGCUACAGUUCAAGGUUUGGUUUGCAUUAUGUAGACUACAAAAAUAACAUGACAAGACACCCCAAGAAUUCAGCUACUUGGUUCUGCUUGUUCCUGAAAAAUUGGCCAAUGGGAAGUCGAUGUCCAGUGAAUUCAUACAAUAUCGCAUAUAAUUAAAGAUGCCUCUGCUCAGUUCCAGUGACCUUGCGUUGUAAUAAAAUUUGUGGUGAUCCCAUGUAAUUUCCCUGUGGGAAUUCCAUGCCCUGUUGGUUUUCAG